rnacentral:rRNA from 1 species
ACGAACGCUGGCGGCGCGCCUAACACAUGCAAGUCGAACGAGCGAGAGAGAGCUUGCUUUCUUGAGCGAGUGGCGAACGGGUGAGUAACGCGUGAGGAACCUGCCUCAAAGAGGGGGACAACAGUUGGAAACGACUGCUAAUACCGCAUAAGCCCACGGUGCCGCAUGGCACCGAGGGAAAAGGAGCAAUCCGCUUUGAGAUGGCCUCGCGUCCGAUUAGCUAGUUGGUGAGGUAACGGCCCACCAAGGCGACGAUCGGUAGCCGGACUGAGAGGUUGAACGGCCACAUUGGGACUGAGACACGGCCCAGACUCCUACGGGAGGCAGCAGUGGGGAAUAUUGCACAAUGGGGGAAACCCUGAUGCAGCGACGCCGCGUGGAGGAAGAAGGUCUUCGGAUUGUAAACUCCUGUUGUUGGGGAAGAUAAUGACGGUACCCAACAAGGAAGUGACGGCUAACUACGUG